rnacentral:rRNA from 1 species
AGCUUGCUUUUUUGAGACCGGCGCACGGGUGAGUAACGCGUAUGCAACCUACCUUAUACAGGGGAAUAGCCCGAAGAAAUUCGGAUUAAUGCUCCAUGGUUUAUCGAUAUGGCAUCGUAUUGAUAAUAAAGAUUUAUCGGUAUAAGAUGGGCAUGCGUAUCAUUAGCUAGUUGGUGUGGUAACGGCAUACCAAGGCAACGAUGAUUAGGGGUCCUGAGAGGGAGAUCCCCCACACUGGUACUGAGACACGGACCAGACUCCUACGGGAGGCAGCAGUGAGGAAUAUUGGUCAAUGGAGGCAACUCUGAACCAGCCAUGCCGCGUGCAGGAUGACGGUCCUAUGGAUUGUAAACUGCUUUUGUACAGGAAGAAACCUCCCUACGAGUAGGGACUUGACGGUACUGUAAGAAUAAGGAUCGGCUAACUCCGUGCCAGCAGCCGCGGUAAUACGGAGGAUCCGAGCGUUAUCCGGAAUUAUUGGGUUUAAAGGGUUCGUAGGCGGCUUUAUAAGUCAGUGGUGAAAUUUCCUAGCUUAACUAAGACACUGCCAUUGAUACUGUUUAACUUGAAUAAUAUGGAAGUAACUAGAAUAUGUAGUGUAGCGGUGAAAUGCUUAGAUAUUACAUGGAAUACCAAUUGCGAAGGCAGGUUACUACGUAUUUAUUGACGCUGAUGAACGAAAGCGUGGGGAGCGAACAGGAUUAGAUACCCUGGUAGUCCACGCCGUAAACGAUGGAUACUAGCUGUUCGGAUUUCGGUCUGAGUGGCUAAGCGAAAGUGAUAAGUAUCCCACCUGGGGAGUACGUUCGCAAGAAUGAAACUCAAAGGAAUUGACGGGGGCCCGCACAAGCGGUGGAGCAUGUGGUUUAAUUCGAUGAUACGCGAGGAACCUUACCAGGGCUUAAAUGUAGAUUGACAGAUUUGGAAACAGAUUUUUCUUCGGACAAUUUACAAGGUGCUGCAUGGUUGUCGUCAGCUCGUGCCGUGAGGUGUCAGGUUAAGUCCUAUAACGAGCGCAACCCCUAUUGUUAGUUACCAGCGCGUAGUGGCGGGGACUCUAGCAAGACUGCCGGUGCAAACCGUGAGGAAGGUGGGGAUGACGUCAAAUCAUCACGGCCCUUACGUCCUGGGCUACACACGUGCUACAAUGGCAAGUACAGAAAGCAGCUACCUGGCAACAGGAUGCGAAUCUCCAAAGCUUGUCUCAGUUCGGAUUGGAGUCUGCAACUCGACUCUAUGAAGCUGGAAUCGCUAGUAAUCGGAUAUCAGCCAUGAUCCGGUGAAUACGUUCCCGGGCCUUGUACACACCGCCCGUCAAGCCAUGGAAGCUGGGGGUACC